rnacentral:rRNA from 1 species
GGCGGACGGGUGAGUAACGCGUAGGAAUCUACCUUGCAGUGGGGGACAACCCGAGGAAACUCGGGCUAAUACCGCAUACGAUUUGAGGAUGAAAGCGGGUCUUUCGGGGCACGCGCUGUGGGAUGAGCCUGCGUCCGAUUAGCUUGUUGGUGGGGUAAAGGCCUACCAAGGCGACGAUCGGUAGCUGUUCUGAGAGGAUGAUCAGCCACACUGGGACUGAGACACGGCCCAG